UACGAGGGGUGCAAGCGUUAUUCGGAUUAAUUGGGCGUAAAGGGUGUGCAGACGGUUUGUUAAGUCACUUGUUAAAUUCUUCGGCCUAACUGAAGGUGUGCGAGUGAUACUGACGGACUAGAGGGUGGAAGAGAGAAGUGGAAUUCUCGGAGUAGCGGUAAAAUGCGUAGAUCUCGAGAGGAACACCGAUGGCGAAGGCAGCUUCUUGGUCCAUUCCUGACGUUCAUACACGAAAGCGUGGGGAGCAAACAGG
rnacentral:rRNA from 1 species